UACGUAGGUGGCAAGCGUUGUCCGGAAUUAUUGGGCGUAAAGCGCGCGCAGGCGGUCCCUUAAGGCUGUUGUGUAAGCCAACGGCUCCACCGCGGAGGGUCAUUGGAAACUGGCGGACUUGAGUGCAGAAGAGGAAAGUGGAAUUCCAUGUGUAGCGGUGAAAUGCGUAGAGAUGUGGAGGAACACCAGUGGCGAAGGCGACUUUCUGGUCAGUAACUGACGCUGAGGCGCGAAAGCGUGGGGAGCAAACAGG
rnacentral:misc_RNA from 1 species